rnacentral:rRNA from 1 species
UGCGUAGGUGGUUAGGUAAGACCUGUGGGAAAGACCUGGGCUUAACCCAGGAAGGUCGCAGGUGACUGCCUGGCUAGAGGGCGGGAGAGGAGCGCGGAAUUCCCGGUGUAGCGGUGAAAUGCGUAGAGAUCGGGAGGAAGGCCGGUGGCGAAGGCGGCGCUCUGGAACGUUCCUGACACUGAGGCACGAAAGCGUGGGGAGCAAACAGGAUUAGAUACCCUGGUAGUCCACGCCCUAAACGAUGGGUACUAAGUGUCGGCGGGUUACCGCCGGUGCCGCACCUAACGGAGUAAGCACCCCGCCUGGGGAGUACGGCCGCAAGGUUGAA